CUUUGAUGACGAGUGGCGCACGGGUGCGUAACGCGUAUACAAUCUGCCUCUUACAGGGGGAUAGCCUUUGGAAACGAAGAAUAAUACCCCAUAGUAUGUAAAUAUCGCAUGGUAAUUACAUUAAAGAUUUAUCGGUAAGAGAUGAGUAUGCGUCCUAUUAGCUAGAUGGUGUGGUAACGGCACACCAUGGCAACGAUAGGUAGGGGCCCUGAGAGGGGGAUCCCCCACACUGGUACUGAGACACGGACCAGACUCCUACGGGAGGCAGCAGUGAGGAAUAUUGGACAAUGGGCGCGAGCCUGAUCCAGCCAUGCCGCGUGCAGGAAGACUGCCCUAUGGGUUGUAAACUGCUUUUAUACGGGAAGAAACCCACCUACGUGUAGGUGGCUGACGGUACCGUAAGAAUAAGCAUCGGCUAACUCCGUGCCAGCAGCCGCGGUAAUACGGAGGAUGCAAGCGUUAUCCGGAAUCAUUGGGUUUAAAGGGUCCGUAGGUGGACAAUUAAGUCAGAGGUGAAAUCCUGCAGCUCAACUGUAGAAUUGCCUUUGAUACUGGUUGUCUUGAAUUAUUGUGAAGUGGUUAGAAUAUGUAGUGUAGCGGUGAAAUGCAUAGAUAUUACAUAGAAUACCAAUUGCGAAGGCAGAUCACUAACAAUAUAUUGACACUGAUGGACGAAAGCGUGGGGAGCGAACGGGAUUAGAUACCCCGGUAGUCCACGCCGUAAACGAUGGUCACUAGCUGUUCGGAUUUCGGUCUGAGUGGCUAAGCGAAAGUGAUAAGUGACCCACCUGGGGAGUACGUUCGCAAGAAUGAAACUC
rnacentral:rRNA from 1 species